UACGUAGGGUGCAAGCGUUGUCCGGAAUUAUUGGGCGUAAAGAGCGUGUAGGCGGCCCGGUAAGUCCGCUGUGAAAGUCGGGGGCUCAACCCUCGAAUGCCGGUGGAUACUGUCGGGCUAGAGUGCGGAAGAGGCGAGUGGAAUUCCUGGUGUAGCGGUGAAAUGCGCAGAUAUCAGGAGGAACACCGAUUGCGAAGGCAGCUCGCUGGGACGUUACUGACGCUGAGACGCGAAAGCGUGGGGAGCAAACAGG
rnacentral:rRNA from 1 species